ensembl:ncRNA ZC53.9 ncRNA
GGUUUAUUUGUAAAUGUUCUCUAAUAAAUGUCAGAAGUUCUGAGGUACUCAUAGAUCUCAAUUGUUGCGAUUUAAGAAUUCUUUUACUUUUUACACCUCCGGACAUUAUAUCAAGAAGUUUAAUGACUUCUUUACGAAGAUCAUCUCUUGACAUUGAAUUGAAAUGAUCCAUUUU